GACGAACGCUGGCGGCGUGCUUAACACAUGCAAGUCGAACGAAGAGCGAUGGAAGCUUGCUUCUAUCAAUCUUAGUGGCGCACGGGUGAGUAACGCGUAAUCAACCUGCCCUUCAGAGGGGGACAACAGUUGGAAACGACUGCUAAUACCGCAUACGAUCUAAUCUCGGCAUCGAGGAUAGAUGAAAGGUGGCCUCUACAUGUAAGCUAUCACUGAAGGUGGGGAUUGCGUCUGAUUAGCUAGUUGGAGGGGUAACGGCCCACCAAGGCGAUGAUCAGUAGCCGGUCUGAGAGGAUGAACGGCCACAUUGGGACUGAGACACGGCCCAGACUCCUACGGGAGGCAGCAGUGGGGAAUCUUCCGCAAUGGACGAAAGUCUGACGGAGCAACGCCGCGUGAGUGAUGACGGCCUUCGGGUUGGAAAGCUCUGUUAAUCGGGACGAAAGGCCUUCUUGCGAAUAGUGAGAAGGAUUGACGGUACCGGAAGAGAAAGCCACGGCUAACUACGUG
rnacentral:rRNA from 1 species